CCUGAACGCGCCCGAUCUUGUCUAAUCUCAGAAGCUAAGCAGG
ensembl:rRNA 5S_rRNA 5S ribosomal RNA